rnacentral:lncRNA from 1 species
GUAGCCAGGAGAUUUGGAGUUUAGUUUCAGCUCCAGGCUGGACCAGAUGCUGUGGGACCUUGGGAAGCUUGCUUGACUUCUCUGAGAUUUUGUUUCUUCUUCCGCCAAAUAGAGAUUCCUCUCAAAUCUAUACAAUGGGGAUUUUCUUUCAUCUGCAAAAUGGGGAAUUAUAAUGCCUGCUGGGCCUCUGCACAGAGUUGUCCUCAAGUCCAUGUAUUCAGACAAGUCCUCUGAAGUACAUCAAGUGCAAGAGGAGACGAGGUGAUGAUUACCAUGGCCAGCAGUGCUGGCAUCGACUAGACCUCCAGCCUCUCCAGGCUUCCCCAAAUCUGGGCUGAGGACUUGGCACCAGGAAGCUAAAAGAUGAAUGAAGCCGAAUCUCUUCCAGGACAAAGCAGGUGACAUGUUCUAAUGGAUUCUGAAGAGGGUUUGUGUUCCUGCCCUUAACCAUUGUAGCGCCAUUUGUACAGGCAGCCGGAAUCCUGCCCAACAGCAAGAAGAAAAUUGGCAGCCCAGGGAAGUGAGCAGCUCUCGGGUUGGACUUGAUUAGGGACCAAUUUGGGCCUGUUAGCCAAGCCUCCAGUAUCAUCUCAGCCAAUUACUGGCCCAGCCUGGCCUGCAGCUGGCUGCUUCCUUCCAAGCUAGACACUUUUAUUUCCAGCAGAGCUCUCCCCUGUGCCUGAGGCAAGAGACCAGGGUGACUGUGGCCCAUUAAAAAGAUGGAGAGAGAAAUAACUCACUCAGUAAGGUACCCAGUCAAUAGCACAAUAAAUGGAUGGAGCCCGAUGACAUUUACAGUCACUAUCCUGUGUACAGGGAAAGCAGGACUGGUUGGAAACUUGCCUUCAACAUCUAAAAAAAAUAAAAAUAAAAAUAAAGGUAGAGAGUGAUCAGGGCUUAGGGUUUUGUGGAUGUGGGCCGGCCUCCCUCAGGCAGGCUGGGUUGGGUAAGAUCCUCUCCAUUGCCCCAUGGCUGUUGGAUCCAUGCCUACCUUGGAUAUAAAACCAAAGUUCCAUCAAUUGGGCCUUCACGUUUUUUCCCGCUGAUCGUACCGCCAUUUUCACCUUCAGGUUCUGUCUCAC